GAAGGGGGCUAGCGUUGCUCGGAAUUACUGGGCGUAAAGGGCGCGUAGGCGGAUAUUUAAGUUAGAGGUGAAAGCCCAGGGCUCAACCCUGGAAUAGCCUUUAAUACUGGAUAUCUUGAGUUCGGGAGAGGUGAGUGGAACUCCGAGUGUAGAGGUGAAAUCCGUAGAUAUUCGGAAGAACACCAGUGGCGAAGGCGACUCACUGGCCCGAUACUGACGCUGAGGCGCGAAAGCGUGGGGAGCAAACAGGAUUAGAUACCCUGGUAGUCCACGCUGUAAACGAUGAGUGCUAGUUGUCGGCAUGCAUGCAUGUCGGUGACGCAGCUAACGCAUUAAGCACUCCGCCUGGGGAGUACGGUCGCAAGAUUA
rnacentral:rRNA from 1 species